CGUAGGGUGCAAGCGUUAAUCGGAAUUACUGGGCGUAAAGCGUGCGCAGGCGGUGAUGUAAGACAGUUGUGAAAUCCCCGGGCUCAACCUGGGAACUGCAUCUGUGACUGCAUUGCUGGAGUGCGGCAGAGGGGGAUGGAAUUCCGCGUGUAGCAGUGAAAUGCGUAGAUAUGCGGAGGAACACCGAUGGCGAAGGCAAUCCCCUGGGCCUGCACUGACGCUCAUGCACGAAAGCGUGGGGAGCAAACAGGAUUAGAUACCCUGGUAGUCCACGCCCUAAACGAUGUCAACUGGUUGUUGGGUCUUCACUGACUCAGUAACGAAGCUAACGCGUGAAGUUGACCGCCUGGGGAGUACGGCCGCAAGGUUG
rnacentral:rRNA from 1 species